AUUGAACGCUGGCGGCAUGCUUUACACAUGCAAGUCGAACGGUAGAGGGGGCAACCCCUUGAGAGUGGCGAACGGGUGAGUAAUGCAUCGGAACGUGCCCAGUCGUGGGGGAUAACGCAGCGAAAGCUGUGCUAAUACCGCAUACGAUCUCUGGAUGAAAGCGGGGGACCUUGUAGCAAUACGGGGCCUCGCGGGAUGGGAGCGGCCGAUGUCGGAUUAGGUAGUUGGGGGGGUAAAGGCUCACCAAGCCAACGAUCUGUAGCUGGUCUGAGAGGACGACCAGCCACACUGGGACUGGGACACGGCCCAGAUUCCUACGGGAGGCAGCAGUGGGGAAUUUUGGACAAUGGGCGCAAGCCUGAUCCAGCAAUGCCGCGUGCAGGAAGAAGGCCUUCGGGUUGUAAACUGCUUUUGUACGGAACGAAAAGGUCUGGGUUAAUACCCUGGGCACAUGACGGUACCGUAAGAAUAAGCACCGGCUAACUACGUGCCAGCAGCCGCAGUAA
rnacentral:rRNA from 1 species